rnacentral:lncRNA from 1 species
UCAAUAUCACAUCAAUUUGCUUCGUAGUUAGUUAAUUCGGAUUCGGCAGAAAUUCGGUACGAAUAUAAUACGUAUAAAAUUCGUUUUUUAAUUUUUAAAUUCGUUGAAAAAUUCGGCUUAAAAAACGGAUUCGAUAUAGAAUAUAAAAUAUAAGAUAUAAAAUAUAAAAUAAUUUAUAUUUAAAAAUAAAAUUAUAAGUUUUUUAUUCAUAUUUUUUUAAUAAUUCGGCAAUAAUUCGCGAAUCUUUCGAAAAAAUUCGUAAACGGACCGUUUAAUUCGGAUUUUCAAUAAUUCGCGAAUAACUCGCGAAUAAUUCGUGAAUUUACUAACUAGGGUUUGGUUUCAACGACUAAUUUCUUUUGAAAAAUCUUAUUCUAAAUUUU